CCUACGGGGGGCAGCAGUGGGGAAUAUUGGACAAUGGGCGAAAGCCUGAUCCAGCCAUGCCGCGUGUGUGAAGAAGGUCUUCGGAUUGUAAAGCACUUUAAGUUGGGAGGAAGGGCAGCCAGCGAAUACCUGGUUGUUUUGACGUUACCGACAGAAUAAGCACCGGCUAACUCUGUGCCAGCAGCCGCGGUAAUACAGAGGGUGCAAGCGUUAAUCGGAAUUACUGGGCGUAAAGCGCGCGUAGGUGGUUUGUUAAGUUGGAUGUGAAAUCCCCGGGCUC
rnacentral:rRNA from 1 species